UAGAUCACAGGCAGAGCUGGGCAAUCUGUGUGUGAGAGUCUCUCCGUCCUCCGUGUGCUGCUGGGCUCUGCUCCGCCCCCCCUCCUCCUGCUCUCCUGCACUGUACACUGACUUCCGGGUACAGGAGAGUCGACGGCUGCAGCUGCUGCUUAUCACAGCAAGUGAAGUCUCUCCCUCCAUUCCCUCCCACCCCUCGUGCAAGUGCUCCUUAUAUUGUAGGCGAUGGAGGAUGGAGUACCUGGAAGGCUUUGUCAGAGAUCCCGCCUAACUGUCCAAUGCCUUCAAGUGCGCAUCCAUAGCAUGAAGGAAGUCUUGUCACAGCUUGUGAGGGACAUCAAAACAUUGCAACAAUCCAGUUGAAGAUGAGCCACACAAAUAUAUCCCACUUCCGGUCACGUGACAGACAUCGGAAGAACGUACGGACAGCGCACUUCCGCCGGCAUAACCUUUGGAGCAUGUGGAUGGCCGGAAGUGAGAGCCGGCGGAAUAACGGACUUCCGCCGGAAGUGAGGUCGAGGUGCGCCAUUAGUACGUGGACUGCUCAUAACGCGGGAAAACACUAACAUUAAAGGAAUGUGGGGAUAUA